CCAAACCGAACACCCCCCCUUCUCCCACUGUUCCUCCAUCUCUCUCAUUCAGAGACGGAGCCUAGGGUUUAAACCUAGCCGCCAUGGUUCUCCUUCACCUGAAACCCGGUGGCACAAUGCCACCGGUCACCACUUUAACACCCUAGGACCAUCUAGCCACCCUGAAUCUAAAUAUAUGAACCCUUUGCCUUGAAUCAGCGUAGAAAUCCUCGAUUCUUCAAUCGAAGAUUCGAGCCAAAUGGAAACUUACACCAAUCCACUCUAAAUUCCCACCAGACCCCUUUCUAACCUCCCUCACACCUUGAAUGACUUUAGUUUGGUUCGAAUCUACCUAGAGACGUUCGAUCCCUAAAUCAGAACGUAAGAACUAUAGAAAAUUUGAAACUUGGAAUCUGUCCAAAUAAGUUGAAGAUUUGGGGUCUAAUAGACCUUAAUCGAAGUAGUCUCAGGUGAGAACAUGUCCACUAAGGUCUGUUCGACCUCAAAAGUGGCCAGUCCGAGUUCGAGCCGGGGUCUGGCAGAUUCUUAAGUUUUUGAGGUAUUUUCCUCUACCUUUGUUUUAUUUUUGUUUUGUGGUUUAUCUGUUUAGUUUAGUUAUCAUUUGAGUUUUAAAUUUUUUCUCAAUUUACUUUAUCUCAUCUCCAGUAACCUUUUUAUUCGGUUGAUUUUCUUCUGUUCGUUGAUUAUUGUAUUUGUCAUAAGCUACAUGUUUGAUGUAAUUAAUGUCGUCCAAUAAUUAGUGUCUUAGGUUCUCUGUUUUGUCCAAAAAACCACUAAAAUAAUGUGGUUCCCUGUUUAGUCUAACUGUGUAUUGAUUAAUUAUUAACUGUAGCUUGUAUAAUUGAUUAUUCAAAUGCCGUUGUUUAGUUUGAUUAAAAGAAAGAUGAAGCAUGAUAAUAAUUUUGUCUUUUUGACUCAUUCUAGCAUUCAUCAUCUCUGCUUCUUUUCUGUUCUGAUUUAUGUGAUUGAGUUGAAGUUUUUGAAUGUAUCUAGUUGUUUCCUUGAACCAAACUGACUCACUCAUUUGAUUGCCACCCAUGUUCUGCAUUUGUUCACAUAAACCUUAUUCCCUGACUCUUUCUAUUUGAGACAUUGCAUGAAUUGGAGUUGGAAUUGGUUGUAGUUGUUAGUAAUUCAGUAGUUAGUACUCAACUUUAGUUAUAAUUUAAAAGGGUUUAUAUACUGGUUGUUAAGAGUUAGGGUAAUAUAGUAAUAUUCAGAGGGUUUCAAGGGUAUUUGGGAAUAAAAAGUGGAUAGAAUUGACUAAGUUAAUGGCGUGUUAGUCAAGCACUAAUACAAAAAAGACUUAUACAUUAGUCUAAUGUUGAUAGGGAACAACCAUUAACAUGUGCCUUAAAUUAAGGAAAGAGCACUCUUGAGUAAGUUUUUCAAAAAGUAUAGGCAGACUUUUGGUAUUUUGGGGGUAGGAUGGUUAAGUUUUUCAAAAGGGGGCGUGUCUGUUUUUUGUUAUAAAUGAAGAAGAGUCUGAACAUUGGAGGGGCUUCUUUUUGUCAAAUUGAGAGAGGGGAUUUUGAAGAAAAAGUCCAGAGUUUAAAGAGUUUCUUUUUUGAGUGAGAAAGAGUCUGGAGAACUUUAAAAAAUCAGUUCUUCAAAGAGAGUUUAGGGCUGGUAUUUUCUUUUGAAUCACUUGUUCAGUUAAAAAAAGGGAAAGAGCUUUUGAGAGUGGCCAAUUCAUAAGAGUUUGACUAGUCUUUGAGAGCUUAAACACACAACAGAGCUUUGAAAGCAUGGGAAUAUUUCUAAAAACACUAAGAGAGCGAGAGAGUCUAAGGGAUUGCUAUUUGAUUGCCUGAGGUCAUUUUCAUAUUAUGUGCCUAAUUCAACUCCUGGUGAUUAAGCUGUGGUGUAUUUUUGGGAAUCAGUUCUGAAGUCAUUUGAGCUUAGUUGAGCUGUUUGAGUUUGAGUAUUUUGGUUUUGUCUGGUUUCAAAUUCUCCUAGGUUUGCUGCAUUCGUUACUGGGCUGUUGUUGAUUUCUGUCUGUAUUGUUGCUUUGCUACUAAUGGUUAUCCUCCUUUUUUCUUUUAUUCAUUAUCCAGGUAUUUGUUUUUCUCCUGAUGUAUUGAUGUUGAGUUUGAAGUAAAGAUGCAAAUAAGAAAUGUUUACCCCCGUGCUUAUUAAGAUCUGCUUGUUUUGGACCAUUAUGUAUUAAUGCAUAAAUAGUUUAGACACAAAAACUUAGUGUAACUUAGUUAUGAUUUGCAUAAGACUGAAACUGGACUAUAAUGUGACUGUGUUAAAUGGUAGUUAUUCAGUUUAUGUCUUGUGCAAAUUGAUCCUUGAAUCUGUUUCAUUUUCGUUUGGCUGAGAAGUAUAAAGCAUUCACGAUUACUUGAAGCUUUUGUAUAACUGGAAUGUAAAAAUGUGAGCUGUGUAAGUUGCUUCAUUCGUACGGUAUAGUGUGGUUUAAUUUCUCCAAGUAAUUAACCCGGGUCUAGAUUUCGAAAAUUAUCAAGUGUAGUGAUAUGUGAAGCAAUUAGUAUAGAUACUUCUUAGCCUAAUAUAGUUUUAUUUAUGGUCCUUAUGUGCAAUGAAGUACUCAAAAUGGUGAACACUUCAAUUGGUAAUCCUCAACCCUAUGUGAAGCAAUUGGUAUAGAUACUUCUUAGCCUAAUAUAAUUUCAUUUAUGGUCCUUAUGUGCAAUGAAGUACUCAAAAUGGCGAACACUUAAAUUGGACAGUAAAAAUUGGAUUUUGAAUUCAUCUUUCCAUAACAAUUCAGGGACCAAGGUAACGUAAUUUGAAUCCAUAUGAUAAUCGUUGUUUUUCCAUUUCAAUAAGCAAAAUCCAAUAAUACUGUUUAGUAACCUAGUUCGAAUCAACCGAAAAUAGUUGGGCAAUCUCAUGUGAAUAUUUAUUCAAUUUAUGUUGGGAUUGGGAUUGGUGUUAUCAAACAGGGCUAAACAACCUAUUUCAGACCUCAGGACCUUAACGGAUGGCCCAGGUCCUGCCCAAUUAUGCGUGCAUUUGGACCUGGGCCAAGGUCUUCGUUGGCCAGUUUUCCUUGUUUGUGAAAUGAGAAUCAAUUCAUACUCCUC
rnacentral:lncRNA from 1 species